UACGGAGGGUGCGAGCGUUGUCCGGAAUCACUGGGCGUAAAGGGCGCGUAGGCGGCUCAUGAAGGCUGUGGUGAAAGUCCGGGGCUCAACUCCGGAUCUGCGGUGGGUACGGGCAGACUAGAGUGCAGUAGGGGAGACUGGAAUUCCUGGUGUAGCGGUGAAAUGACGCAGAUAUCAGGAGGAACACCGAUGGCGAAGGCAGGGUCUCUGGGCCAUUACUGACACUGAGAAGCGAAAGCAUGGGGAGCGAACAGG
rnacentral:rRNA from 1 species